AAGUCGAGCGGCAGCGGGAAGUAGUUUACUACUUUGCCGGCGAGCGGCGGACGGGUGAGUAAUGUCUGGGAAACUGCCUGAUGGAGGGGGAUAACUACUGGAAACGGUAGCUAAUACCGCAUGACCUCGCAAGAGCAAAGAGGGGGACCUUCGGGCCUCACGCCAUCGGAUGUGCCCAGAUGGGAUUAGCUAGUAGGUGGGGUAAUGGCUCACCUAGGCGACGAUCCCUAGCUGGUCUGAGAGGAUGACCAGCCACACUGGAACUGAGACACGGUCCAGACUCCUACGGGAGGCAGCAGUGGGGAAUAUUGCACAAUGGGCGCAAGCCUGAUGCAGCCAUGCCGCGUGUGUGAAGAAGGCCUUCGGGUUGUAAAGCACUUUCAGCGAGGAGGAAGGCAGUCGUGUUAAUAGCACGGUUGAUUGACGUUACUCGCAGAAGAAGCACCGGCUAACUCCGUGCCAGCAGCCGCGGUAAUACGGAGGGUGCAAGCGUUAAUCGGAAUUACUGGGCGUAAAGCGCACGCAGGCGGUUUGUUAAGUCAGAUGUGAAAUCCCCGCGCUUAACGUGGGAACUGCAUUUGAAACUGGCAAGCUAGAGUCUUGUAGAGGGGGGUAGAAUUCCAGGUGUAGCGGUGAAAUGCGUACAGAUCUGGAGGAAACCGGUGGCGAAGCGGCCCCCUGGACAAGACUGACGCUCACGUGCGAAAGCGUGUGGAGCAAACAGGAUUAGAUACCCUGGUAGUCCACGCUGUAAACGAUGUCGACUUGGAGGUUGUGCCCUUGAGGCAUGGCUCUCGGAGCUAACGC
rnacentral:rRNA from 1 species